rnacentral:lncRNA from 1 species
AUCGGCGGAUGAUCCGAGUAUCUCUUCAUAUGCUCAGCACACUUCAUACCCUAGUUUCUCAGACAUCGAUCUCCCCAUAGGUGAUGCGUCUAUAUCACCAAGGAUGAGCGAGCCGAGAGACAUUGUACUGAUCUGAUGAGCAACAUGUUGACCAGCAUUGGAGGGCCAGAGGUAGGGGUCGACUAGGAGUUUUUCGAGAUAGACACAGAUACAUAUUGAUAGGCCGAGCACGCCAUCAUCUCUUGCUCCAUCGGUUGAUAUCGUGCCUGAGCCAUUACACCAAUGAUUAGAGAUGACACGCGUUUAUGAGAGGCAGAUGUGGAGAAAGCCUCAGUAUCUUGAUAUAUACGCCUCUCGAUAGUUGUGAUAUUUUUAUAUUUUUUUUUGCUAAAAAAUUUUAUAAUCAUCAAAUAUUGGGUUACAUUAUUUUAAAAUUAAUAUUAUAAUUUUUUUAAUCUGAAAGCACAUAUUAUAUUUUUUUUGUUAGUUGCGUAAAAAAUUAAUUAUUGAUCUUGAUACAGGAUAUAUGGUUGAAGUUUGAGAUUGUCCAUUAUUUCUAGG